rnacentral:lncRNA from 1 species
CAGGGGAUGAGUCUGAACAAUGACUGAAAUACAUUAGGAAAGUUGACAAACCAUAUUGCUCUUGAUCCCCUUUUCCACAGGUUCGGCUCUAUCUGUGUGUUUUUCAUGUCAUUAACUUAGAAAUAUAGAGUUUUGAAUCGAAUCUAUUUAGAAAUAAGAUCUUUUUUCUCAUGGUAGCCUGCUCCAGUCCCUUUACAAAACUUUUGUUAUUGGGUUAUCCACACACUUCACAUGUUUCUAGCGACUCAUAUGGCAUCAUCAAAUUAUACAAGUCUUGCAUAAGAAUCUACAAUGCACUAGAACACCCUUGUUGACGAUCCUUUACUCUUUCUAAGAUAUGAGACUAUGUGAUCACCACAGUUCUCCAAGUUUCCCGAUAAAAAAUUCACUGUAGAGCCCUAGUCAAAAUCAAAAAUGUGUCUAUUGUCAAUAACAAUUAACGCCAAUCACAAAGAGUUGCAGCCUCAUCUCAUUCAAGUUACUGAAACAAAUGGGAGAAUAGAACACAAGUAUUAGAUAUCAUAAAUCAACAUUCAACUCAUAAAACUGGUAAUUCCAAAUCACCAUAGCACGAAAAAGUUCCCUUCAGAGGAAUUGUUUGAUAAUGAUCAAAUUAACAAUAAGGAGCUCGCAAUUAUUUCAAUUGUUACUACAUAUAAAGAGUGAGGAGGGAGUAGGAGAAAUUACAUCAAUCAAUCACUUAACUCUCAAUCCCAAACCAGUUGAGUUGAAGUUCACUAUAUUAUGAAUCUUUUAUAUCUUAUUCCACUCUAUUUGGAGCCAUGAAGGAGAUUGAUAUUGCUCUCUCUGUUCCAAUUUACGUGACAUAAUUUGAUUGCGCAUAAAGUUUGAAAAAAAAUAAAUUAAACUUGUGAUUUUAAAUAUGUCAAAAAGCAAGAGAUUGGAAACAUACCUUCGAAGCCAAUUGAGCAAAGCUUCCCAAAGACCCAUGGCUAACGCGAGGGUUCGUAAACGAGAGCGAGAGAGAUCUGUAAAAAUGUCAAUAUAGCUGAGAAAUCUCUCUCUCUC